rnacentral:rRNA from 1 species
AACGAACGCUGGCGGCAUGCCUAACACAUGCAAGUCGAACGAGACCUUCGGGUCUAGUGGCGCACGGGUGCGUAACGCGUGGGAACCUGCCCUUAGGUUCGGAAUAACUCCCCGAAAGGGGUGCUAAUACCGGAUAAUGUCUUCGGACCAAAGAUUUAUCGCCUUUGGAUGGGCCCGCGUUGGAUUAGCUAGUUGGUAGGGUAAAAGCCUACCAAGGCGACGAUCCAUAGCUGGUCUGAGAGGAUGAUCAGCCACACUGGGAAUGAGACACGGCCCAGACUCCUACGGGAGGCAGCAGUGGGGAAUAUUGGACAAUGGGCGAAAGCCUGAUCCAGCAAUGCCGCGUGAGUGAUGAAGGCCUUAGGGUUGUAAAUCUCUUUUACCCGGGAGGAUAAUGACAGUACCGGGAGAAUAAGCUCCGGCUAACUCCGUG